rnacentral:lncRNA from 1 species
UUUCAUUCAAAUUUGUCCAUUCAUUCAUACAAAACCGUUUACAAACACAUACAAAGAAAAUUAUAAAAAAAAUGCUUCUUUGAACAAAGGUUGACUUUGGCUAACAAUUGACUUUUUGGUCAACUUUGACCAAAGUCAACCAUUUAAGACUUAAGACCUAACUCUAACUUCUUCAUCCAUCAUCCUCAUGAUCAUGUGCUUUUAAGCUUCAUGCCAAUUUUCUUCCAUGCCAUGCCACUUUCUCUUUGCACAUGAAUACCUUAAAAGGGCAAAACAAAGCCAUAAGUAUUGUCUUCAAGUUUAAAACAUGACUUUCCAAGGCAACCAUGACAUGUCAUUCAAUGGCAAUGUAAUAUCAACACCAUUGAUUUAGUAGUAGUAACAUUGACAUAGCUUAACAUUUUAACAAACUCAUAACAUUCAUUUCAUAACCAUCCUUGAAUUUGCUACCACUAACUUUUUCUUAACAUGAACAAACCAUUUCCAAUUUAUAACUAUGCAUGGACCAAAGCAAAUCGAAACUAACAAUUAAUCAUAAUUUCAGUUUUCAUAAUAAUGCAUUCAUCAACCAUUCCAAAACAUGACAAGUGCACCAAAACUAGGAACCAAAAGACUUCAAAAUCGCAAAUAAAGUUUCUAUGUGAUUACCUUACCACUAAGCUUGGGGAUUUUUUUGCCUUCUACUAUUGCUGCCCCUUUCAACAUAAUGUAUAUCCGUGGACUUCAUCAUUCAACAAUGUAUGAAUCACUAGUUCCAUGACCUACUGUCAGAAUCAAACAGAGAAAGCAAUUUAGCAUGAUCAUUACCAUCAUUUUCAUAGAAUUUUAGUCAUGACAAGAAUCAUGUUAGGGUUUCUAAUUUGCUAGCAGCAUUUAACAAGAACAACAGUUAAUUCGGUAUCUCAAUGCAGAGCUAAACCAACUCACUUCAGACCCAUAACAAAGUCAAUUAAUCACCAAAAACUAACUUCUAAUUUAACUAAUUCUGAGUUACAUGUCAACCUACCUACUAACCAAUUAACCAAUACCUACUGGAGUUCCACAUAACUGACAUAUUGACCUACAAAUAAACUAAUAUUAAUCAGUUUUCUAAUUGAACUAACAAGCUCAAACACUAACCCUACAGAACCAAUGGAUGAAAUAUAACAGAAAAUUCAAAAGAUUUCCAACGACACAUUCAUGUAACAAGGCUCAUUGCAGCUCACCAUUAGUUAACCUGGGUGUAGCGAUACAUAAUCUUUUCAUCCUAACCUAAACUAACUUAUUCCAAUUGCAAAUAACAGAAAUCCUGAAUUUAUAACUAACAUUACAUUUCAUGUGAAUUUCAUCUAAAUUUCUGACAUGCUUGGGGCUCUAUAUAAGCGUACCUUCACUGUAAUUUUGGGAGGGGAUUCAUUAUUCAGAUUUCAUUUCAAACUCUUCCAAAAGCUCUGAGAGUUCUGAUUCGUUCUUCACUCUCACUUUUCAUUCAUACAAGCAAAUUGAAUCUUCAGUCUUCUUGGAUUCAUACAUUCACACGCAGAAUCCUCUUCAUACAGGCACCAGAAACACACGAAUCACGUCACAUCAAAGGGAGAUCGAAGAAGAUUCAAGAAGAAGGAAUCGAAGACGAAUGAUUACCUCGUGGAGCACCGAGAAGCCGCUGUGCUUGAACGCUGCUUCGGUACACUUUAACCUUAUUGAAUUUAUCUCCUACUUGCAUUUCGUUUUGAGUUGGUGAUGGCGUGUUUGAGUUUUGGCGGAUUCUUCACGGCGUGUUCGGAAUUUGAGAUCUGAGCUUCAAUUCAGAUUCACGUAUUCGUUGCAACCUUCAACGAUUUGGAAAACUCAGGAGUAUGUUCUUUGAUUUGGAGUUUCAUAACUUGAAUCCAGAAUGCGAAGGAGAAUGAAGAACGCGAUGCUGAAUAUUGGAACGUGAUACUGACUUUUUCAUAUGAGCGCCUUUGUUCUUCAGCUUGGUGAACUUUCCCAUUUUGUAGCUUGGAUUAGGUUUGGUCCUAAGGCUUAAACGAUUUGUUCUAUGCACACACUUGCCAUGGACCUACAACUCCCUAGAGCGACCGCGCUUGGCUGGACAUGUGGCCCAUUCUGAAUCCCUCAUGGAACCCCUUUUUUGGCAACUGUUCAGCGCUUGGGCUUUGAGCUCCAGGCCCAAACGUUUUUGCUGGCUAACACCCACAUUCCAAACGCAU